GGCUCAGGAGCAGGUGGCCCUAAGACCGGGCGGGCAUUCCUGGACCUCCCCUACACAAGCCAGCGUUCGUAGCAGCCGGACCUGCACUACAGCCGGGCCUCAGCCACGUGGUCGCACCCUGGCCCCGCCCCCGACGUCCACACGCAGUCCGCGCGGGGCCUUGUGGGCCGUACGGCACCCCCUAGUCCCAGGCCAGGGCUUGGGGCAAAGCUUCGUUGCCCCUGUCCCUGCUGCUUUCCGGCUUCUGCAGUCGCAAUGCCUUUGCCCCAGGCCUACAGUCUCAUGAACCCUCUGCCUGGGCAGGGACAGGUAACAGAGAGAGAAGCGAUGUAAAGGUGCAUGUGGCCAUGUUGGGUGGUAGUUCACACCACUGGGAAGAGGCAGCUGGUGGCAGUUAAUCAGAUAAUAGGAUAAUGGAGGAUGAUGCUGUACCAGGAACUAACAAUCCAUCGGCGGAAACAUGGCCCCAAACAGCAUUCAAGACCAUACCCUUCUGCUUUAUUCUUAAGGACAAAAAAUACUGAUGCAGCAACAGCAAUCUAAGGUAUUUCAUAAACUUCUGGCUCUUCCUCUGCUCUCCUCUAAGACCUUGACUAAAAAGCAUUGGAAUAGAAAGGAGAAUGAAAUGAAAUAAAACCAUAUCCUCAGUGUUUUACUGCUCCCCCCUCACCCCCCCCCCCACCAUUCCAGGGCAAAGGCAACAACUGGUGAGAAGGAGCUGCAACUUAGAAAAGAUUUAUUUUUCCUGGCCAUAAAUCUCAUCCCCUUGUUCCUCUGCCCAACGAAGCAUGCUAAAGUCCUUUUCCAUAAAGUAUUC
ensembl:lncRNA